rnacentral:rRNA from 1 species
UACGUAGGUGGCGAGCGUUGUCCGGAUUUACUGGGCGUAAAGGAUGCGUAGGCGGAUAUUUAAGUGAGAUGUGAAAUACCCGAGCUUAACUUGGGUGCUGCAUUUCAAACUGGAUAUCUAGAGUGUGGGAGAGGAGAAUGGAAUUCCUAGUGUAGCGGUGAAACGCGUAGAGAUUAGGAAGAACACCAGUGGCGAAGGCGAUUCUCUGGACCAUAACUGACGCUGAGGCAUGAAAGCGUGGGUAGCAAACAGG